CACAUGCAAGUCGAGGGGCAGCAUUUUUCUUUCAAUAGAAGAGAUGGCGACCGGCGCACGGGUGAGUAACACGUAUCCAACCUACCGAUAACUCUGGAAUAGCCUUUCGAAAGAAAGAUUAAUACCGGAUAGUAUACGAAUAUCGCAUGAUAUUUUUAUUAAAGAAUUUCGGUUAUCGAUGGGGAUGCGUUCCAUUAGUUUGUUGGCGGGGUAACGGCCCACCAAGACUACGAUGGAUAGGGGUUCUGAGAGGAAGGUCCCCCACAUUGGAACUGAGACACGGUCCAAACUCCUACGGGAGGCAGCAGUGAGGAAUAUUGGUCAAUGGGCGCAGGCCUGAACCAGCCAAGUAGCGUGAAGGAUGAAGGCUCUAUGGGUCGUAAACUUCUUUUAUAUGGGAAUAAAGUUUUCCACGUGUGGAAUUUUGUAUGUACCAUAUGAAUAAGGAUCGGCUAACUCCGUGCCAGCAGCCGCGGUAAUACGGAGGAUCCGAGCGUUAUCCGGAUUUAUUGGGUUUAAAGGGAGCGUAGGUGGAUUGUUAAGUCAGUUGUGAAAGUUUGCGGCUCAACCGUAAAAUUGCAGUUGAAACUGGUAGUCUUGAGUACAGUAGAGGUGGGCGGAAUUCGUGGUGUAGCGGUGAAAUGCUUAGAUAUCACGAAGAACUCCGAUUGCGAAGGCAGCUCACUAGACUGUAACUGACACUGAUGCUCGAAAGUGUGGGUAUCAAACAGGAUUAGAUACCCUGGUAGUCCACACAGUAAACGAUGAAUACUCGCUGUUUGCGAUAUACAGUAAGCGGCCAAGCGAAAGCAUUAAGUAUUCCACCUGGGGAGUACGCCGGCAACGGUGAAACUCAAAGGAAUUGACGGGGGCCCGCACAAGCGGAGGAACAUGUGGUUUAAUUCGAUGAUACGCGAGGAACCUUACCCGGGCUUAAAUUGCAACAGAAUAUAUUGGAAACAGUAUAGCCGUAAGGCUGUUGUGAAGGUGCUGCAUGGUUGUCGUCAGCUCGUGCCGUGAGGUGUCGGCUUAAGUGCCAUAACGAGCGCAACCCUUAUCUUUAGUUACUAACAGGUCAUGCUGAGGACUCUAGAGAGACUGCCGUCGUAAGAUGUGAGGAAGGUGGGGAUGACGUCAAAUCAGCACGGCCCUUACGUCCGGGGCUACACACGUGUUACAAUGGGGGGUACAGAAGGCAGCUACACGGCGACGUGAUGCUAAUCCCAAAAACCUCUCUCAGUUCGGAUCGAAGUCUGCAACCCGACUUCGUGAAGCUGGAUUCGCUAGUAAUCGCGCAUCAGCCAUGGCGCGGUGAAUACGUUCCCGGGCCUUGUACACACCGCCCGUCAAGCCAUGAAAGCCGGGGGUACCUGAAGUACGUAAAGGCAAGGAGCGUCCUAGGGUAAAACUGGUAAUUGGG
rnacentral:rRNA from 1 species